rnacentral:lncRNA from 1 species
AUGGCGAGGCCGGAGCAGGGUCUGAACCAGACCCUCCCUGCUCGGGGACGGGAUGGGCCGAGGGAGGCGACAGCCCGGCUCCUCUCGCUGUCGUUGAGCAACUGGCUGGGGCGAACGACCGGGAUUAGUCACCGGAUUGAGGCAAAUCCCUGGGGAGGGGGCAGGAUUUCUGCAGAGCUGGUGCUGCCUGCCCAGGCCCCUGGAAGCACGGUGCCGGGGGAGCCCACCUCGACCUCGCAUGCGCCCAGCGCAUCCCUCCCGGACGCUGGUUGCACCCAGCAGUUAGGGCUUUUUGGGAUGGGGGAGCUGCGGUUUGAGCAUCCCCCCUCUCCUUGGCCCGGAAAGGCAGGACAGAGCCAGAAUUUUCCCCGUCAUUGCUGCCAGGGGCUGGUGCUUGCCCCAGAGGCGUCAAAAGCCCUCGGGCACCCCGGGAUCCACAGGUGGCUCCCAGGAGCCGGCCGGCCCCAGACCCGGCUCCACAACCAGGGCAAAGUCCUGCCUCACCGGCUCCUGCUGCUUUUUGUAGCCCCCCUCAAAUGGGGCAGCACCCUGCGCUCUGCACACAGCUCCCACCGGCACCCCAAAAGCUGCUCCCUUGCAGGGCUGAACCCCCCCCCCCCAGUGCUGCAGGGCACGAGCCUCGCGCCUGCAUUGCAGAGAAAGGCACCGAAAUAUCUGUGCAUUUGGCAGCCGGGCCAGGCACGGAUUCCCGGGAUGCCGAGAGGCUCCCUCAGCUUGCCCGUGCCGGCCCCGGGAGCGCCCCGUGCGCGGGAGGCGGCGCAGGGGCCCGGGGUUCCUUCCCAACCCCGAAAAGCUGCCGGACCGGCACAUCCCUCCCUCCCACACAGCCCAGCCACGCUGCAAUUUCGGCGCUGUCGAAAUCAGGCUGCAGCGUGGCACCCGGUUAACUCCUCGGCAGCCGGCGGGAGCCCCAGCGUCCUGCCGGGAUCGCACAGCCGCCGCGAGCACCGGCUGCAACGCAGCCACCCCACCGCGCAGAGC